CUGGCGCAUGCCGUCGGUCCACGGCUCGGCGCCGUGGAUGCCGAUGCGCAGGGAGGUGCCCCGGGGAUCCAUGCCCUGGCGCUUGA
rnacentral:tRNA from 1 species